UGGGUGAGAAUUAGAGUGGCUGGAG
rnacentral:piRNA from 1 species